AUUGAACGCUGGCGGCAGGCCUAACACAUGCAAGUCGAACGAGUGGCGGACGGGUGAAUAAUGUCUGGGAAACUGCCUGAUGGAGGGGUAUAACUUCUGGAAACGGUAGCUAAUACCGCAUACCAUCAUAUGUGCCCAUAUGGGUGUAGCUAGUUGGUGGGGUAACGGCGCACCAAGGGGACGAUCCCUCGCUGGUCUGAGAGGAUGACCAGCACAAAUGGAACUGAGACACGGCCCAGACUCCUACGGGAGGCAGCAGUGGGGAAUAUUGCAGAAUGGGUGCAAGCCUGAUGCAGCCAUGCCGCGUGUAUGAAGAAGGCCUUCGGGUUGUAAAGUACUUUCAGCGGGGAGGCGUUACCCGCAGAAGAAGCACCGGCUAACUCCGUGCCAGCAGCCGCGGUAAUUC
rnacentral:rRNA from 1 species